GAUGAAGAACGUAGCGAAAUGCGAUAAGUAAUGUGAAUUGCAGAAUUCAGUGAAUCAUCGAAUCUUUGAACGCACCUUGCGCCCUUUGGCUAUUCCGAAGGGCAUGCCUGUUUGAGUAUCAUGAACACCUCAACUCUCAUGGCUUGCCAUGAUGAGCUUGGACUUUUGGGGGUCUUGCUGGCCUAUGGUCAGCUCCUCUCAAAUGAAUUAGCCUGCCAGUGUUUGGUGGCAUCACAGGUGUGAUAACUAUCUACGCUUGUGGUUUUCCACCAGGUAACCUUCAGUGAUGAAGGUUCGCUGGGGCUCAUAAACGUCUCUCCUCAGUGAGGACAGCUCUUUGAACGUUUGAUCUCAAAUCAGGUAGGACUACCCGCUGAACUUAAGCAUAUCAAUAAGCGGAGGA
rnacentral:misc_RNA from 1 species